CGGCCGCUCUAGCCCUGACUGACUGAGUGCNAGCCGCCGCAAGGUGCGAGGAAGGCGGGGACGACGUCAAAUCAGCACGGCCCUUACUUCCGGGGCUAAACACGUGUUACAAUGGCCGGUACAGAUGGAAGGCUUGCCGYAAGGCAUUUCGGUUCUUGAAAGCCGGCCUCAGUUCGGACAGGGGUCUGCAACCCGACCCCUCGAAGCUGGAUUCGCUAGUAAUCGCGCAUCAGCCAUGGCGCGGUGAAUACGUUCCCGGGCCUUGUACACACCGCCCGUCAAGCCAUGAAAGCCGGGGGCGCCUGAAGUCCGUGACCGCGAGGGUCGGCCUAYGGCGAUACCGGUGAUUGGGGCUAAGUCGUAACAAGGUAGCCUCAGUCAGUCA
rnacentral:rRNA from 1 species